rnacentral:rRNA from 1 species
UACAGAGGUCCCGAGCGUUGUUCGGAAUCACUGGGCUUAAAGCGUGUGUAGGCGGAGUGCUAAGUACCUUGUGAAAUCCCACAGCUCAACUGUGGAACUGCUUGGUAUACUGGUUCUCUUGAGCCAUCUAGGGGCUACCGGAACAAAUGGUGGAGCGGUGAAAUGCGUAGAUAUCAUUUGGAACGCCAAUGGUGAAAACAGGUAGCUGGGGAUGUGCUGACGCUGAGACACGAAAGCCAGGGGAGCAAACGGG